rnacentral:rRNA from 1 species
UUUGGAAUUUUGGACAAUGGGCGAAAGCCUGAUCCAGCGACGCCGCGUGGACGAUGAAGGCCUUCGGGUCGUAAAGUCCUUUUGCUCGGGAACAAUAUUUUGAGCGUACCGAGAGAAUAAGAGGUUGCUAACUCUGUGCCAGCAGCAGCGGUAAUACAGAGACCUCAAGCGUUAUCCGGAAUCAUUGGGCGUAAAGCGUACCGAUAGGUGGUUUUACAAGUCAGAAGUGAAAUCUCUCAGCUUAACUGGGAGACUGUCUUUUGAAACUGUAAAACUAGAGGGGCAAAGAGGAAGCUGGAACAAGCGGUGUAGUAGUGAAAUGCGUUGAUAUCGCUUGGAACACCAAUAGCGUAGGCAGGCUUCUGGGUGCCACCUGACACUGCUAGGACGAAAGCGUGGGGAGCGAAUGGGAUUAGAUACCCCCGUAGUCC